UACAGAGGUCUCAAGCGUUGUUCGGAUUCAUUGGGCGUAAAGGGUGCGUAGGCGGCGCGGUAAGUCGGGUGUGAAAUCUUGGAGCUUAACUCCGAAACUGCAUUCGAUACUGCCGUGCUUGAGGACUGGAGAGGAGACUGGAAUUUACGGUGUAGCGGUGAAAUGCGUAGAUAUCGUAAGGAAGACCAGUGGCGAAGGCGGCUCUCUGGAACGCAACUGACGCUGAGACGCGAAAGCAUGGGGAGCGAACAGG
rnacentral:rRNA from 1 species